rnacentral:rRNA from 1 species
AUAUAUGUUACUCAACGCAUCGAAUGGAUGCCUCGACUCUCAACUCCGAUGAAGGACGUGGCCAGCUGCGAUAUGCUUCGGUCAGCCGCUAGGCAGGCGCUACCAGCCGAAGAUUUCCGAAUGAGGUAACUCCUGGGACGGAAUGGUCCCAGAUCUUGCGCAAGCAAGAAGGUAUACUCUGUGAACUGAAACAUCUCAGUAACAGGGGAAAAGAAAUCAAAUUAGAGAUUGCCUUAGUAGUGGCGAGCGAAAAGGCAACAGCCCAAACCUGCGAGCUUGCUCGUGGGGGUUGUAGGACUCUCACAAACCGAUUGCACAACCGUAGACGAACGACCUGGAAAGGUCGGCCAUAGACGGUGAUAGCCCAGUAGUCGAAACGCGAGUGCACGGCGAGAUGUUCCUGAGUAAGGUCGGACACGUGUAAUCCGGCCCGAAUCCGGGAGGACCACCUUCCAAGGCUAAACACGUUGAGAGAUCAAUAGCGGAUAGUACCGUGAGGGAAAGGUGAAAAGCACCCCGAAAGGGGGAUGAAAUAGUUUCUGAAAUUCGAUGCGAACAACGAGUUGGAGCCCCGCAAGGGGUGACAGCAUUCCUUUUGCCUAAUGAGCCAACGACUUAGUUCUUAGCGGUGUGGCUAAGGCAGCAAUAGCCGAAGCCGGAGCGAAAGCGAGUCUUAAAUACGGCGUUUAUCGCUAGGACUAGACCCGAAACCGGGUGAGCUACCCAUGAGCAGGAUGAAGUUCGUCGAAAGACGAAUGGAGGUCCGAACCAUAAAGUGUCGCAAGACUUUGGGAUGACUUGUGGGUUGGAGUGAAAAGCUUACCGAACCCGGAGAUAGCUGGUUCUCCUCGAAAUGUAUUUAGGUACAGCCUCGUGAUAUACGACAAGGGGUAGAGCUACUGUUUCGAUAAGGGGGUCUUCUAGGCCUACCGAGUCCUGACAAACUCCGAAUACUUGUCUUUAGAGUCACGGGAGUGAGACAGUGACAGCGAAGUGCCAUUGUCGAGAGGGCAACAGCCCAGAUCGUUUGCUAAGGUCCCCAAGAACAGUUAAGUAUAUCAAAGGAAGUAUUAUCGCAUAAACAACCAGGAGGUUUGCUUAGAAGCAGCCAUCCUUUAAAGAAAGCGUAACAGCUCACUGGUCGAUUGCGAUGAUGCGCCGAAAAUUUACGGGAUUAAACUGUUCACCGACGCAGCGAGUGCGUGGAGCAUGCGUGCUCCAUGCGCAGUAGAGGAGCGUUCUAUUCAGCAGCGAAGCCCGACUGUAAGGUCGAGUGGAGCGGAUAGAAGUGAGACUGUUGGCAUGAGUAACCACAAGGCAGGUGAAAACCCUGCCCGCCGAAUUCCCAAGGUUUCCCACGCAACGUCGAUCGGCGUGGGGUUAGUCGGUCCUAAGGUGAGGCUGAAAAGCGUAGCCGAUGGACAGCAGGUCAAUAUUCCUGCACCUCGUAUAGAUCGACCAAGAGAGUAGCUUGAGAGUCUUAUUGGCCUCUGCUUCUCCACUGAGCGCUUCCCUUAUAAAGGAGCGUUGAGUGGAGAAGCAUGUCGACGAGACAGGAUGGUUACGAUCUAAGAAGGGCGUGACGGAGACGGAACCCCAGAGCGUCUGCAUUGACUGGACGUAGAAAACGCGAAGUAUUGAUAGCCGGAGGCAAAUCCCCGGUUUGAGCUGAGCGUCGAUCAAUCACCCCCUUUACCGGGGCUGAGUCUGAAGGUUUCAUCUUCCAAGAAAACCGUCAUUCUGAGAGCUAUAUGAGACCGUACCGCAAACCAACACUGGUGGGAUGGUCGAGUAGACCAAGGCGAUCGGGACAACUUGCGUUAAGGAACUCUGCAAAAAAGCGUCCGUAACUUCGGGAUAAGGACUGCCUCGUAGCAAUACGAGGCCGCAGCGAAAGGUGUCCCUGCGACUGUUUACCAAAAACACAGGUCCCUGCGAAGCCGUAAGGCAAUGUAUAGGGGCUGAUGCCUGGCCAGUGCUAGAAGGUCACGUGAGGGGGUGUAUGCCUCCGAUCUAAGCCCUAGCGAACGCCGGCCGUAACUAUAACGGUCCUAAGGUAGCGAAAUUCCUUGUCGGGUGGUCGGUAACGACACUUGCCCGAAACCCGCUAAAGCGGGUGCACUAAGGAAUCAGUCGUGUUUGUACAGUCCAAAAGCAUCUUUCAUCAUUAUGAGAUUUUCUCGUGAUGAAGUUCAAUGACAGAAAAGCAUCGAGAAGUACCAUACUAGUGAUACAACGCGGCUAUAUGCUGGAACAUCCCAGAAUCCUCUACGCCGAAAGGUACGAGGUGGGGACAAUCAGCAGGGAAGACCCGAAAGGGAACCCUCAGAGACUACACGCCGCGCUCCGCACUUGUUGCGGAGAUGAUAUAGUCCGAUCCCUGCAGCGAUGUAGGGUGACAGAAAUUCGUCUGUCAGAUAAAAAACUCACGUUACCGAAUGUCGGUACAGGUAUGUGCGCUUAAGGUUUUUGCCUUGAGUUCUCGGCUAACCACCGAGAGGAACCUACAUUUGAAGUUCCGACCCGCACGAAUGGUAUCACGGUGGGGAUUCUGUCUCGACGCAAGGCCCGGUGAAAUUGCAGACCAGGUAAAAAUGCCUGGUGAAUCACGGUAGGACGAAAAGACCCUAUGAAGCUUUACUGUAGGCUGGCAUUGCGCCAUUGGUUUACAUGCGCAGGAUAGGUGGGACCCUUUGAAGCCGUGGCUUUGGCCGCGGUGGAGGGGCCGUUGAGAUACCACCCUUGUGUUCCGAUGUCGCUAACGUGUGG